GCGGAGAUCAGUUGAUAGUAAUGCUUUGUCAAAAAUAUAAAUGCCAAAUUAUUGUAAAAUAAUUAAAUUAGCUUUAUACAAUUUCUUUGAUAAUAUGUGUUAUACGAUUUCCCAGGUUUUACCAUGUUUUUUCGCGAUUUUAUUAAAUUUGCUGGGAAAACUCAUGAGAAAAUAGAAAAGGGUUCUUUAAAGCAUCUCGCUAGUGAAAUUGCCUUUUAGAAAUAAUGCUCUCAUUAAAAGUUGGAGUGAAAUUGAUGGUAGA